GACGAACGCUGGCGGCGUGCUUAACACAUGCAAGUCGAACGGUAAGGCCCUUCGGGGUACACGAGUGGCGAACGGGUGAGUAACACGUGGGUGAUCUGCCCUGCACCUCGGGAUAAGCCUGGGAAACUGGGUUCAAUACCGGAUAGGACCACUGCCUGCAUGGGGGGUGGUGGAAAGCUGUUGCGGUGUGGGAUGGUCCCGCGGCCUAUCAGCGUGUUGGUGGGGUGAUGGCCUCCCAAGGCGACGACUGGUAGCCGGCCUGAGAGGGUGACCGGCCACACUGGGACUGAGAUACGGCCCAGACUCCUACGGGAGGCAGCAGUGGGGAAUAUUGCACAAUGGGCGCAAGCCUGAUGCAGCGACGCCGCGUGAGGGAUGACGGCCUUCGGGUUGUAAACCUCUUUCAGCACCGACGAAGCGCAAGUGACGGUAGGUGCAGAAGAAGGACCGGCCAACUACGUGCCAGCCGCCGCCGUAA
rnacentral:rRNA from 1 species